rnacentral:rRNA from 1 species
UUUAAAGUCUGACCUGCCCAAUGAUUAUUUGAAUGGCCGCAGUAUCUUGACUGUGCAAAGGUAGCAUAAUCAUUAGUUUCUUAAAUGGAAGCUGGAAUGAACGGUUUGAUGAAAAAUUAACUGUCUUUUUACUAUUAAUUUAUAAUUUUAUUUUUUAGUAAGAAAGCUAAAAUUUUAUAUAAAGACGAGAAGACCCUAUAGAGUUUUAUUUGUAAUUUUCUUCUUAGUUUAGGAUUUAUGUUUAGUUUUAUUACAAAUUUUGUUGGGGUGACAUGAAAAUUUAUAAAACUUUUUAUUUUUUAUACAUUAAUUUAUGGAUUUUUGAUCUUUUAUUUGGAUUAUAAGAUUAAAUUACCUUAGGGAUAACAGCGUAAUUUUUUUUGAAAGUUCUUAUUGAUAAAAAAGUUUGCGACCUCGAUGUUGGAUUAAAAUUAAUAUUUGGUGUAUAAGCUAAAAUAUUAAGUCUGUUCGACCUUUAAAAUUUUACA